GGGGUUUUAGUAUAAUGGUAAUGCAUAUGACUUUUAAUCAUUCAGAUGUGGGUUCGAACCCUGCAAACCCCG
rnacentral:tRNA from 1 species